CUCCUCCAUAGACACAGGAUGAGUCAGGGCCUCAAUCUCUUCAUCGAUAAUGCUGCACACCGAUUGGGACCCCUGAAGGUGGGGGCAUCCUCACCCAAGAGAGUGGUCCAACGUGAUCUGAAGAACUGUAGAAUUUGAUCCCUGAUCUCAUCCCUGUCCUCCACCACUCUGUCAUCAUAUGCUCCCUUAGCUGCUGAUUGCUGUCAUAAGUAUCAAAAAUAAAAAUUUAAUCUAAUUUAACUAUUAUAUAGAAUAGGAUGAGAUCAGGUGUCAAAUCCUCAGGAAUCAAAGGGCUGAGUUGUGUUCAAUUAAAAAAAUAUGAUGAAAGAAUAAAAAUUUUAAGAUUUUAAAAAUUAAAAAAAAUAAGCUGACGGAGAUAAAGUUUCAGAAAAGUCAAUUAGAAGAAAGUGCCUCAAAUUUUCGAAUUCAUCCUCAAUCACAUAUUAGUAUUUUAAUC
rnacentral:lncRNA from 1 species